AUAAAUUCCAAAGAAGAUACUUUCUUCCUUUUAAGAAUUCAUGCAUGUCAGGUCAAAGUUUAAAAACAUUUCUAGUUAAUAUAAUAAAAGAUAACAUUUCUACUACACAGUGACUAAAGAAUAAUCAUUUAAGCAGAGUUGAAAAUAAACCUUAGUUGCCCUUUUGAAAAAAUGUCAAAAUACCUGCGUGACUCAGUAACAGUUCUGAUAUAUUUCAUAGCUACUAGAUAAAGAAAGUACUUCAUAAGACCCAGUUUUUCAUAAGAACUCAGAG
rnacentral:lncRNA from 1 species